GAAGGCCUAGACUAAAACUACUACACUGUUGCAGGUGUAAGUUUAACUCAUGAUUUGUUCCAUUGCCUCCAUUUUUCAGAAGACCGAGAUGGGUAGGGGUCCCCUAGGCCAAGCUUCUUUGAACUCUAAAGGCUGAAAAAACUUAUUUUCCUGUACAGUUCAGCAUUCUAAGAUACAGAAAUGGGAGAGCUCACCUGCCCUAAACACCGUAAGGCAUCUGAUCUUAGUGAUGUUACUGGAACUCUUUGGGGGCCCCUUGUGACUUUUCCUGUACAAUUGAGGCCGGAUGUGAUAUUCUCAGAGAAAUGCUCCUUUACGAGUUCCCUCUCUUGAGAUGUGAUCAUUAACAAAGUGACAUUACAUCAGGACAUAUCCAUCUCUGAGUCCUUAGCACUUGUGAGCUAAGGAUUUCCUCUCAUUUUGGCCUAUACAAUUUCACAUGCUGAGUGGUGUGUGCAUAUGCUACAGAUCACUUUCACUACGAAAGAGAGAGGAGAACUAAAUUUAAUGGGAACCUUCGGUGAAAUGGAUGUUCCACAGCUUGUAGUGCACCUUCAAAGGCAUGCUGCAUGACAAAUCUAUCAAAAUCAGUCAUGUCCUUUGCAUACUCUAUCAAGCAGUUGCUCAGCUUGCCAAAGGACAUCUCGAACUGAAGUUCAGAGAAUGGAGCACAUAAUUGAAUCACUACUGACCAACUGUCACAACAACCCUCCGCUCCCCAAACACUAAUGAAAGGAAGCAAAUGAGACGUCCUGAUUCAAACUUUUAUUCUGAUGACAUCCUAUUGUUGUGUUCUAGCACAGAGCCAAGAACUGAAGAGAAAUGAUCAUCCUCAUUACGUUUUCCGAAAGCUUAUUAUAAGCACUUGCUGAUAUCGCUGCAGGAAUUGACUGAAACUUCAGAGAUGAAGCAAAUAUGCUGUUUGAGAUAAUGCUAAUGUAUGCAAAACAGAAAAAAACCCACCUACAAACCCACAAAAAACCGUCCUAGAAGCUUGAAAAAAAUCUCACAAUUUUAACACACCUGAAGAAUCAGACAGAUAUUAUUGAUAUCUGUGAUCAUCUUGUUUUUUAGCUGAAAUAUUUAAUUUCGAUAUUAAUUUUUAUUACAUUUAAUAUGAAAUUAAAUACCAGUCACAUCUUAGAACUCCUAGAGAACAUAAAUAGAAUACAGACCUACUGUCAGACCUACCCAGUUAUGAUCCUCUCUGCAUAUGAGGGAAGAAACAUCCUUCCUAGAGUGCCUUGUCACGUCUAUUCUGUUACCAUAUAAUCCCACAGUCUCUGUAAGGCAACUAGUAUAGCUGUUGUCAUCAUUAUAGAAAUAAUUUAAUACUUUUUCUCAAACACAGUUAUGCAACCACAUAGAAAAUAUGACAGUAUCAUUUUAAAACAGGGGACAUGAGGUGUAGACAUGUAUUCAGAAAAGCCAGGAUUUCUUGUCUAUCUCUGGGAAAGACUUGCCCUGCUGUAAGAGGCUGUGUGGCUUAAGUAGCCCAAGCCUUUGCAAGCUCUGAAACAGAACAAAGAAUAAUCCAGGACAAACAAAGGCUACCACAUCACAGAUCUCAGUAAAGCUUGGAUUCAAGAAGACACCAUGGGCUAUUCAACCCCAACGUGCGUAGCUGCAAGUAAAGAAGAGAAAAUUUAAGUGGCCAGGAACAAUAAGGUUAAAAAGUAAAAAUGUUCCAGUUCUUCCUGGAUUGCCUCAAUAUUUGUUUUUCAAUUAAAAAGCCUUAUUUUUAUUUUGAAGAAGGAAUCAAAUAUUCCUUUUCACCUGUGGAUUUGGGAAUAAAUGAAGUUAA